UGACGCCCGGGCUUUUGUUAUUAGGUGCGAGAGGCAGGUGCGGAGCCGCAGCCGGGACUCGCCCAAGUCUGGAAGGGGAGCGCGGACUCGCCGCCGCCGGCCCCCGGGACAGGUAUCGUACAGCCAUGGAGGAUUCUACCAUCAAUCUGGUUCCUAAAGGAGUCGGGCUUCUGUGGGAAAAGAGAGGACCUUGCAACAAGCAUGGGCAGUUGUGUUGCAGUGGGUGACCUGGGGUGAGCCGACUGAGUUGAUGAAAAUUGGCACUGAAGUGAAUACAGCUAUGAAAAUUUACCCCAUCUGAGGAUUGCUGGAAGAAAUGGCUGGGGGCUAUCCAUGCUCUACCACUGAUUCACUGCAUGAUCUGAAGAAGCCUGAGAGUACAAUAUAGGUCUUCCAGAUGUCAUUCAAAUCUCCUACCACACUCCAUCAUCCAAAAGGAGAGCCACAAAGAUCCCUCUGGAAUAGUGCUUCAUUCUGCAAACCAAGCCAAAGGUUGAGACACAAAUUGUUCCUUGUGCUGUAAGCAUCACUUCUGCAGCACACCCAGCUGCUGCCGCCGGCCCAUGGAGUAAGAAAAAGCUAACUUUGUGUCCGAGCUCUGAUCCUCUGCAUAGUAACAACCUACUACUGGGAAAAUGUAUUAUUAAAAGGAAGGUUUUACAUUGAUUUUAUAAAUAUUUAUGCAGUGCUUGAAUAUGCAGAGACUUCUAUUUACCUGUAACCCACAAUUUUAAGAUUUUAAUUUUUUUAAUUGUUUGAGAUCUGUAGAGAUUAAUAGCCGCUUGUAGAAUUUGGGAACGACCAUGCUUGAUUUUCAAAUAUUCUAUUAGUCAAGGGGUUCUUAAAUCUUCUGUAGCAUAGGCCACAUUCUAAGAGAGGUUGGCUUGUGAACACUUACCCGCACAUCUAUGAUUGCGUAAGCUACGGUAUCUGUCCUUCCUAUCUGUUGGUAUGUCUACACUGCAAUCAGAGCUGUGACUGCAGCUCACAGGCAUAGCCAGGCUAGCUUUGAUGUAGCUAGCAUAGCUGAAAAUAGCAGUGAAGAUGUGGUGGCAGAGACCCCAUCAUGAGCUAGGAAGGCAAAGACAUAUCCAGGAGGCUCGGUGGGCUUGAAUAGCCCUCCCUGCUAUGUCUUCACUGCUAUUUUUACCUGCAUGCUAAAGAUGAUACUUUAAAUACAUGCUGUUUUUAGCUGCAGUCACACCUCCAACUGCAGUGCAGACAUACUCUGACUGUGAAGACCGCUUCUUCUCCUAUUUGCAGUCUACUGACAUCCCUUGGCCAACGGCAGCAACUGCUUACAUGGAAAAGUGAUAUUAGGAAUUGCUAUAGCUAACAUAUUAGCCACCAUUGCCAUAAUAUCUGACCCUGUCACCUGUGAGUUCAAAUUAUAGCUUGGAUCACAGGUGAUACUUGCAAAAACACUUCACAUUUGAAUUAGGAUUUAGGGUAUAAUAGUUACAUCUGUAAAGCACUGUAAAUGUGCUUCAUCCAUGCUAAAUGCUAUGUAUUAUUAUUUUGGUGCUUUGGCAGUCUAUAUAAGAAGAGCCUAUUGAUGAGAACAGGAAUCUUGCCAGGCAAUACUGAAGUGACACUGGCAGAGAUGUCAGGAAGUUUGAACAAUGCAAACCUAUAUUAUACUUGGUUCAAGACAGUGCUAUUGUUGUCCUCCACUUAAUAAGUCCUUAUAAGCACUAAACUCACUUACAAUUUUCUGUUAAAGUUCAUUGCCCUUGUAAGGGACAAGGAAAGGCAAAUCUGUGGUUAACAAAGUAAUAGGAGAGCAAAGAAAAGAAGAAAAAUGAGGUAAUGUAAAUAAUAAGAGAAAAAGAAUCAAUAGUAACUGUUAGUUGCAAAAUGAUAAGAGCGAUUGGUCAUUUGCUCAGCAUUGUGUGAGCGGAAUCACUAGUGGGCAAUUUGUCUUCUCAUGACUGUGGUGGGCCAAUCAAAAAAGCAGGCAGAGCAUUGUAUUCUUAAGAGGUACAACUGAUCCUGAAUAUACAAUUCCUAGUUGAUUGGGCAGGUCUCACUAAUCAGUUAUUUUGUAAGUGGGAGGACACCAAAUGCAUCAGUUAGAACCUUAUUUUUCCAUUCAAUUUUUUAGAACAAGGCGGCUCAUUGAUCAGUUUCUACGUUACAAUUCAUUUCCACUGUUGUGCCACAGGAAAUCUCAAGUACAAUUAUACUGCCAAUUUGCCUCCCUCUUUUUAUAUAUAUUUUUAAAAGGGUUAAAUUUUAACAGCAAUGUUUCCUGACUGCAUGCAUUCAGUUCCCUACCAUACAAUUGAUUAUUUUACUUUAGAAAAACUGAAUUUCUUUGUGCUCUAGGUCACUUAUGUUGUGUAAAUGCUUAUGCUACAUAAAAGGAGCCCUACUGUAGCACUGGUUAGUCUCUACGUUGCCACAAGUACUCCUUUUCUUUUUGCGGAUACAGACUAACACAGCUGCUACUCUGAAACUGGUAGAUAGGAAGUUCAUUCUUUGUAGCACACUCCCAUUUGUCACACCUGAAUGAAUGGAAAUGAGUGGGAUUAUCAGGAGUCAGAGUUCCUGAGUGAGAACCUGAAGCCAAAUCUCUAGAGGUUUUGAGCAUCUUCACCUCCCACAGUUACUGAGGACAUUCUCAGGAUUUGGCUUUCAGUCAGGAAGGAUUUAAAGCAGGGAACUCUAUUUCAAAACACAACAAAAAAAAUCUCUCCAAUUGAUAGAAAGGAGAGCUAGGUUGGCAGCAGACCAGUUAAUUCAAAAGCACUAAAUAAGACAGACUUCCAUAAUGUGCUGGAAAGACUGAUACCAUUUUAGCCCAAGAAAGUCUUUGUGCAAAGCCCUUGGUUUUACCUGGAAGCCUAUUUAACUGACGAUUACGGACAAUGUGAUUUUGUUGAGAAAGCUCUCCCUGUGUCAAGCUCUGCUGCAGGAAGGUGCUGAGCAACUUUGCUAUUGUGCAGUGCAUCUUGUUAAUUGGGAUAAUUGUUAUCCCAUCUUGUUAUCCAUGGGAUAAUUGGGACCCAUGGAUAUCCUUCGGUGUCACCCACAUAACCAGAGGUGUUAUAUUAAUUUAGAUGGAAUAAAGGGGCCCAAAGAGUCAGAGAUGUUAACAUGAUCCUGUCACUGUCCUACAUUAAACAGCCUUAAACAAGAUUUAGGAUACAGAGAUCUCAGCCUGCUUAUUACUCUGGCAAACACUAUUAACCAUUUUUCCUUCUUCUGUAUCUUCAAUAAAAAGGUUAAAACUUUACAUUUCAAAUGCUUUAAGUAAGGCUUUCAUUUUAAUGUCUUGUUCCUUUUCCCUUUAGUUGAAGACAGACUAGAAGGGGGAAAAACCCCACCUUAUCUGACAGUUUUUUAGAUGGUGUUAAAGAGGGUUGUAAUUGUUCUUUUGAGGAGAAGAAAGGAGGUUAGUUGAGAUGGAUCGGGGUGUUAUCGGGGUGUUGUGGUUGUUACAGUCUCAUCCUGUUGCAUAGAAAAACAAAACAAGACAAACACACCCACAAGGAGAAAGAAAAGCAAAGAGUUUCUUUAGUGUUGACUCUCAUUUGCAACUCUGUUGGAAAAAACACAAGCACAACAUACGGUCUUAUCAGUAACUCCAAGGCCUUCCAAAUUUGUACCAGUACUGGGCUGUUUAGGGCAUUGCAUUUAGCUGUCUUUCAGAGGCAGCAGGUUUGUAUAAUUUUUGGUGGUGCCCAGAAUGGGUCUGAGUCCUGACCCCCCGAACGCGUGCGCC